UUUUUUUUAACUAAAAGGGACCCAAUUAAAUUAUCAAUGUUCCAUCCAAGGAAUAUAAGUUGUAAUAUCAUAACAAACGAUAUGAAAUCCAACCAUGCAACAGAAAGUAUUGCCAUAAACAUGAAAGCAUAAUUCUAAAGACUGUUAAAAAAAAAAAAAAAAAGGGAUCUAAAGACAUUGCUUAAAGAGAAAAACCUUGCAGAGGGGCAAAUUUUGCCAGAAUUUCUGAUUCACGCUUUAAUGCAUUUUUCUUUUUCAGCUCCAAUUCUGGCAAUCUGGAGUUGGCCAGCUGAAUCUCAUUCACUACUUUGGGAAUAGCAUUUGCCACCAUCUUCUGAGCAUAAGUCACCUCAACCUUUGCUUCC
rnacentral:misc_RNA from 1 species